UGAUGAGAGACAGGUGCAGGUCCCAGC
rnacentral:piRNA from 1 species